UACGGAGGGUGCGAGCGUUAAUCGGAAUAACUGGGCGUAAAGGGUGCGUAGGUGGUCUGAUAAGUUAUCUGUAAAAUCCCUGGGCUUAACCUGGGCAGGUCAGAUAAUACUGUUGGACUCGAGUAUGGGAGAGGGUAGUGGAAUUUCCGGUGUAGCGGUGAAAUGCGUAGAGAUCGGAAGGAACACCGGUGGCGAAGGCGGCUACCUGGCCUAAUACUGACACUGAGGCACGAAAGCGUGGGGAGCAAACAGG
rnacentral:rRNA from 1 species